AGACAGGUAAUCGCAGCUGCAAGGCCGAAAGGCAGUAGUUGAGGAAAGUCCGGGCUUCACAGGGCAGGGUGCCGGAUAACGUCCGGUGGAGGUGACUCUAAGGAAAGUGCAACAGAAAUAUACCGCCUGAUGAUUCAGGUAAGGGUGGAAAGGUGGUGUAAGAGACCACCGCCUUGCUGGUAACAGCAAGGGUCCCUGUAAACCCCACUCGAAGCAAGACCGAAAAAAGACAAGGUGGCGGCCCGUCACGUCUUAGGUAGGUCGCUAGAGCCUGUCGGCGACGGCAGGCCCAGAUAGAUGAUUACCCACGACAUAACCCGGCUUAUCGUCUUACUU
rnacentral:RNase_P_RNA from 1 species